CUCUUCUCCCUGCUCGGCCUCUAUUACAUCAACAAGAUUUCCAGCGCUCUCUAUCAAUCCAACGCGCCCGCGGCCGCCCCGGCCAAAGCUGUGGGGAAAGGGAGGAAGAGGAACUGAUGGGGGCGAUGGAGCUGAUGGAGCCGAUGAUGGUGAUGGAGCCGAUGAUGGAGCCGUUGCCCCAUUGGGGCCUACACAGCCACUCAGUAAAGUUGGGCCUUUGUAGCUCGGCCUCAGCUCUGCUUCCUCUGCUGACCCCCAUGGUCCUCCAGCCACUCUACCCCAUGGUCCUCCAGUCUCUAUCCCCCAUGGUCCUCCAGACACUCUACCCCACAGUCCUUUAGUCUCUAUCCCCCACAGUCCUCCAGCUGCCCUGCCCCAAGGUCCUCCAGCCACUCUGCCCCACAGUCCUCCACUCUCUCUAUCCCUCGGUCCUCCAGCCUCUUGCCCCCAUAGUCCACUCUACCCCAUGGUCCCCCAGACUUUAUCCCCCAUAGUCUUCCAUUCUGCCCCACAGUCCUCCAGCUUCUGCCCCAGUCCUCCAGCCACUCUGCCCCACGGUCAUCCAGUCUCUAUCCCCCACAGUCCUCCAGCUGCCCUGCUCCAAGGUCCUCCAGCCACUCUACCCCAUGGUCCUCCAGUCUCUAUCCCCCACAGUCCUCCAGCCAUUCUGUCCCAUGGUCUUCCAGCCACUCUACCCCACAGUCCUCCACACUCUAUCCCCCAUAGACUUCCAUUCUGCCCCACAGUCCUCCAGCCGCUCUACCCCAUGGUCCUCCAUUCUCUGUGCCCCAUGGUCCUCCAGCCAAUGCUCCACAGUCUUCCAGCCUCUCUACCCCACAGUCCUCCACACUCCACCCCAUAGUCUUCCACUCUACCCCACAGUCCUCCAGUCUCUAUCCCCCACAGUCCUCCAGCUGCCCUGCCCCAAGGUCCUCCAGCCACUCUACCCCAUGGUCCUCCACUCUCUGUGCCCCAUAGUCCUCCACACUGCCCCACAGUCCUCCAGCCACUCUAUCCCAUAGUCCUCCAGCCACUCUAUGCUCCAUAGUCUUCCAUUCUCCUCCAGCCUCUCUCCCCCAUAGUCCACUCUGCCCCACAGUCCUCCACUCUCUCUGCCCCAUGGUCCUCAAGGUGCUCUAUCCCAUGGUCCUCCAGUCUCUAUCCCCCACAGUCCUCCAGCUGCCCUACCCCAUAGUCCUCCAGCCACUCUAUGCCCCAUAGUCUUCCACUCUGCCCCACAGUCCUCCAGCUUCUGCCCCAGUCCUCCAGCCACUCUACCCCACAGUCCUCCACACUCUGUCCCCCACAGACCUCCAGCCACUCUACCCCAUGGUCCUCCACUCUCUGUGCCCCACAGUCCUCCAGCUGCCCUGCCCUAAGGUCCUCCAGCCACUGUACCCCAUGGUCCUCCAGUCUCUAUCCCCCAAGGUCCUCCAGCCACUCUAUGCCCCAUAGUCUUCCAUUCUGCCCCCAAGGUCCUCCAGCCUCUCACCCCCAUAGUCCACUCUACCCCACAGUCCUCCACUCUCUAUCCCCUAUGGUCCUCCAGCCACUCUACCCCACAGUCCUUUAGUCUCUAUCCCCCACUGUCCUCCAGCUGCCCUGUCCCAAGUCCUCCAGCCUCUGCCCCAUAGUCCUCCAGCCACUCUAUACCCCACAGCCCCCCCCUCUCUGCCCCACAGCCGUCCUGCCCCACACCCACAGCUCCACACAUUAUUAUUAUGGCCAAACACUCGUCCUCAUUGCUCCUCACCCCAUUGCCCUCAGCCCAUCAAUCCAGCCCAUCCAGCUCCUGCCAUCCCUCCCAUCCCUUGGGCAGCUCCAAACCACCCCAAACCUCAACACACCCAACACGGAGCCCAGCACCAUCACGGGCCGCCAAUGGGGCCGAGCUGCAUUGAGUGCUGCCCAUAGGGCACGGCGUGUCCCAUCCAGCCCCAUUGGAAAGCAUGGGAUCCAAUGGGAUCCAAUAGAGCAGGCCUUGCUGCAGUCCAGGCAGCCAUAGGAAGGCACAUUCAUUAAUUCCCCAUGGACUAAUUAACGCGUUAAUUAAUCCCCCAUGGACUAAUGAAGGUGGAUUGACGCCCCCUGAGCCGCACACAGUGCUGCCCUUUAAUGA